CCUACGGGUGGCUGCAGUCGAGGAUCUUCGGCAAUGGGCGCAAGCCUGACCGAGCGACGCCGCGUGCGCGAUGAAGGCCUUCGGGUUGUAAAGCGCUGUCGAGGGGGAGGAAAGCCGGGGCGACCCGGCCUGACCUAUCCCUGGAGGAAGCACGGGCUAAGUUCGUGCCAGCAGCCGCGGUAAGACGAACCGUGCGAACGUUGUUCGGAAUCACUGGGCUUAAAGGGCGCGUAGGCGGGCGUUCCAGUCAGGGGUGAAAUCCCCCGGCCCAACCGGGGAAGUGCCUUUGAUACUGAACGUCUCGAGUGGGGUAGGGGCACGCGGAACUUCCGGUGGAGCGGUGAAAUGCGUAGAUAUCGGAAGGAACGCCGGUGGCGAAAGCGGCGUGCUGGACCCUUUCUGACGCUGAGGCGCGAAAGCCAGGGGAGCGAACGGGAUUA
rnacentral:rRNA from 1 species